rnacentral:lncRNA from 1 species
GCGGCUCCGGACAGCCCCACUCCGCCCGAGGCCCUGCAAUUCGAACCCAGUUCCUCCCACUCCUUCUCCAUCUCCGCGAUGCAACCAGAAGGCGCUUUUGACUUGGCCUUGAGCGGGUGGAGCAGGUCGGGAAGCUCCCGCUCUUGGGCUCCGCAGGGCUCCCCGCUCCCCCGCGCCCCGCUCCUCGGGCCGGAAGGGGACAAACGGGCUGCGACCGAGCUUUCUGGUGUCUUCCGUCAGACACAGGGCCCCAAACCCAAAGGUUUCUCCGUCUGA